rnacentral:lncRNA from 1 species
GGGCGAUGGUCGCGGCCCCCACGGAAGGCAGUCUUUCUACCUUUUUUGCUUCCAGACUCACUGACAUAAAAUGAGAAAUACAACGUUUGACAACUCGAAGCCAGCCUGGGGUCACAUUCCGGCAAACAGUGGGAACCAGCAAAGCCAAGGACAGAGAGGUCUUCAGGGAAUACAUGGCUAUGGUGGUUUGAAGACUCCCAUUAGAGAGUGGAUAUUAAUUGCCCUCCUUUUGAAUAUGGUCUGGACUUAGUGAUUUGAUUGUAACAAAUAGAAUACAGCAGAUGUGAUGCUAUGUGACUUCCAAACCUAGGUCAUAAAAGGAGAUAAAGUUUUCACCUGGCUCUCCCUUGCGACACUCACCCUUGGAACCCAGCUGCCAUAUUGUGAGGAAGCUCAAGCCACAGGGAAGUUUUCACCUGGCUCUCCCUUGGGACACUCACCCUUGGAACCCAGCUGCCAUAUUGUGAGGAAGCUCAAGCCACAGGGAAGGCCAUGUGUAGGUGUUUGGGUUGAUGGUGCCAGCUGAGGACCCGGUCUACUGCCAGUACAACUUAUACCAAGCAUGUGAGUUGGCGAGCUUUUGAAAGAACUCCAGCCACAGUCACUGACCACGCUGCCUGAGAGACCUAGAGAGAAAACCUAGCUGAGCCAAAUCAGGCCCCGGAAACAUAAAUAACCAGCACCUCUGCCUGCUUUCCUUACUCAAAUCUUUGAUGAGACCAUCUUUUCAGAAGAGGCAGGUGCAGCACCUCUGGAACCUGCAUUAACUCUCCCAGCAGAAUGUAAAGCAUGAAAGAAAUGCUCCAGUUUUUAUAUAACUUUUUAUUUUGGCAUGCAACAAUCAGUACUUCAACUUAAAGGAAUGAGGAAGAUGGGGAUUGCAGACAUUUUGUUUGAUGGAGUAACAACCAAAUCAACAACACAUGUCAGUCAACUAAAC